CGGACUUGAGGUUAUUUAUUUGGGAAGCGCCUGGACGGCGGAGGUUGGUGGUGGCUGUGGCUGCGGCAGAAGGUGGUUAAAAAAAGGAGGAGGCGGCGGCAGCGAGUGAUGGGAGCGCCGAGGCUCCCAGGCGCAGGCCAGAGCUGCGGAGCUUUCCAGGCACCGCGGGAGUGCUGAAGAGAAAGGGGAGCGUCCGGGGACCCGCAGCCGGCUCCUGAGGCGCGGGCUGGGUUUUUGUUCAGCGGCGCUCAGCGCCUGGCAGCAGGAGCGAACUACUCGUAACAACAACAACAACCCACCUUUCAGCAGCUCAGCGAGACUUAGGCUGCUGCGUCUGUCCUAUUGUUUAGACACUUGCCAGGGGCUCCAGAGCGGCAGACCCCGCUCUCUGUCGCCGCCUUUCCUCUCCCUCACCUCCCUCCAGGGAGCGGGAGGCAGAGAAAGCAGCCGGGAGAGGGCAGGAGGCAGGAAGGAAGGACUGCCCUGGACUGUAGCCGCCGAGUCAGGUGCCGCAUCUGGAGCCGGGUGGUGUCUCCAACGUCGGCGAGAGGACUGCUACCGUGGAGGUGGGAGACGGUAUCCCAAACCUGGGAAAAGUUCCUGCACUUUGAGAAGGAGAACCCACUUGUGGGAGGCUGCCAAGGGGCGAGAGAGAAGCUGCGCCCGCUUGGAGCUGGCUGUUGUUUCUUCCACCUUUGCCAUCAGGUGUCUGCCACGGAGCUGCAGCGUAUCCGGGAGACGAGAGGGGCUGACACGCGCGCGCACACACAUUGCCAUUCAGCUAUCGCCUGGGCUCUACCUGGAGUAGCGGAUCCCACCCUCCCGCUGGCCACCUAGCUGUCCUCCAGACAAACUAGCAGGGCCCGGGUCGUGAACACCUUGGCCUUUGCCUUUCCCCUCCUUCCGGCCUGCCUUCUUGCAAGUCCUGCGCUAGUCAGUGCCUGUUUCGCCUUCUCUGGAGCUCUAGUGCUAAACUUGGCUUCUUGGAUUUCCUUUGCUGAGAUUUUGACUAGUGGAUAUUCCUGUCCCGCUGCAGCGGUCCUACUGCCCUUUUGUCUUUCUGUGUGACCUCAGGGCAGGCCCUGGUGCAGAGCGUCGCCAAGGACGCCGGGCGGGAGGCGGGAUUGCCGAGGAGACAUCCUUCAGCGAAGUACAUGUGUGUUUGCAAACCAUCCUUGGCUGUCGGGAGAUUGCGAGGACCGGUAGGGGCUACCGCUGAGCAGCAGGCUGGGGAGAGGCCGCGGGAGUGAACCGAGCCCUGCACCCUGCAGCGCCGCCCCCAGUCCCCUGGGCUGCACAAACGCCCGGUGCGCCCCCGCGCGCCAUGCCCAGUUGCUCGGCGCGCUCCGCUCCGGGCCCGAAGGGCUUCUGCGCCUUCUAGCUUCAAGGAGUCCACUUUGAUCAAGACCACCAUUACUACUGAGCGCCCCUCUUCCUCCUCGCACUUCUCCCAGCCCCACUGGAAUCGAAAUUGUAGAGCAGUGUGUGGGAUCUGAGUAUCAUCUCACUCUACCCCCUGGCAGCCGUCCUUUGCAUCUUCACAGUCCUAGGAAGUCUCAGCUCUUUUACCGCCAAGUGGUUUCUUCAGCGACAGAAAACGUGUGAUUUCCUCCCCCACUGCUCUUGGGGUCUCCUUGCAGCCUUGGCCAGGCCAUUGAUCUUCAGGUUCGAAAGUUGCCCACGGAGUUCCUGCCCUGCUACAAAAGGGUGUAGAGGGAAGGGGAAGGCGUGAGCCUGUUCUGGCUCUCCUGCCUUGAAUAUUAAUUAUUACUGUUCCAUAUUAUUUUGUGCACAUUUCCCCGGGCACUCUGGGUUGCUAAUCCCGCGCCAAGCACUGGGCCUCAGACACUGCACCGUUCCGUCGGAGCAGCGAGCUAAAGAGAAAUCCCCAACGCCGGCAAGCCAGGAGGCGGCGGGGGAAGAUGCGCGGCACUGGCUGGCAGACGCUGUCCCUGUCGCUGGGGUUAGUGUUGGCGGUCCUGAACAAGGUGGCGCCGCAGGCGUGCCCGGCGCAGUGCUCCUGCUCGGGCAGCACUGUGGACUGUCACGGGUUGGCACUGCGCAGUGUGCCCAGGAAUAUACCCCGCAACACAGAGAGACUGUGAGUAUGGGUUCUUCGCCCUCCCCUUCUCCCCAUCGCGGUAGCGCACGCUUUGCUGGGAACCUGAAGUGACCCAGCAAUACAGGGACCUGGGACUUGUGCCUGGUGAAGCCUCACUGGCUCUCCAGAUCGCUCAUCCUGGGUUGGGCCCGCCUGGAGGGCCAAGUACUGGAAGGCACAGCCCAGGAAAGGGUCACUGCCCAGGGAGGGGCGGGUCCGCUGGCAGCUGCGUUUGGUCCCUUUUCCCUGCUCUUGUCCCGCCACUGCCACUAGCAGCCUCUUGUGGACGAGUUGUUCGGGACUGUGCAGAUGGGAGCUAGGGAACAAGGAUGAGAAGAUGCCCCAGGCUAGGAGACACGACUUUGUUUUCAGAUUCCUUAUAAAGAGUCACCUUGCUGUUGCAAACAUUCUUAGGUCUGUUUUAGGAUGAGUCCCCGCCCUUGUCCCCCCCCCGCCCCCCCCGUUAGCGUGGAGGAGAUGGCAGGGGAUUCAAAGAGAGAAACUUAGGCUCCCUGUCUUUGUGUUCCCCUCCCAGGAAAGAAGGGAGGGGAGAAAGAGUCAUGGGGUGUCCUGGGAUAUUACUAUCAGGCAGGAAGGGUGCCCCAGUAGGGCCACAGCUGGCUUAGUGGCGGUGCGCAGCCCCCUGCUACUCCCCCCCACCCCGCCCCUGCCCUCUACUUCUGCCCAGAGGAUGCGGAGGUAGCGGGCCCCAAGGGACUCUCCCAAGCUGGACUCUUCCAAGCUGGCGACUGCAGCGGAGACCGGCGUCCCAAGGUUUAAGUGAAGUUAGUGUACUGGUUCUCCAAACCUGAACCAGCGCAGAUAGAUCAGACUGCUUAGGCGACCCGGCGGGCCUCGGCCGCCCCCUGCGGCUCUUCCUGCUGAGCCCCUGUCCCCCUGUCCACCUUUCUGGCAGUUUCUGCGUCCCUUCACGUGGCAGCAGCUCCUCUUUCUGCCCCUCUUCGCGCUCCGGUGCCCACAGACAUCCCCGCCUCCCUGCCUCUGCUGGUCUCUAAUGAAGAAGUAAACGCAGUCCUGGCUUUGACGGCCCACGCGCUCCUGGUGGGGCGCUUCCCGAGUUCAGGGAAGCGGAGCAUGGAGGCCAUUCUCUUUGUGAAUGCGGAGCCGCCGCCCCAGUCGCCCGAGCGCCCUAGGCGCGCUAGUGUUCUCACGAUGGCGCGUGGGCCGGGCGGGUGAGGGCGAUGGGGACCAGUGCGCUGGGACUCCGCUCCCGUGGCCUCCUUCCCUCUGGGUCUGAGGGCCAUGAACUGCGGAGAGGACGCCCUCAGAUUCGCACUUCUGCGCCAGUGCAGUCUGCAGCGCCUUGAGUCGCCCUUCUUAUCUAAUCCAUCUCUCUGGCCUCUGCUUUAAAGGCCAAGUUGAGCCCUUUCUUCUUUUGGAAAGGCUCAUCUGUCCCCCAGCCUCACUGGGUUGCCCCCUACUCUUUUUCUUCAUUCACCCCAAACCCUUAGUGCUGCGCAAGUUGGGCCUUACCAGGGUUGCCUCAUCAAGAUGUGAUCCCCGACAUUUGCCUCGGGUGGGAGGUAGGGAUUCCGUGUUAUAUUGAAUACCCAAUAAACGACCCCGAUGAUUUUCUGAACAACUUAAUGAGACUUUGCUCAGCGUAUAGAAAUAGGCAAAAAAGGAAGGAAAGUAAUGCAGAAUUCUGUUUUUGUACUUGUCAUUUCAUGCUGUUCCAAUUAGUUUAUAGUGUAAGCACUAACGUGUCUUCUUACUCAACCAAAAGGGCAUUACUCGGGGGGGAAAAAUGACAAUUGGGUUUUGGAUCCUUGGGAAAAUAAAAAAUCCCUGUAAGGGGAUUUUUAAAGAGGUUUCAGAAAAUAGUAUAGUCAGUGUUGUCUUAUAAAAUUCUAUCAUUGACAAAGUAAAAACUUAAAAUACAUAUUUCAAACAUGAAGUUUUUAGGACUAAAGUAAGAGAGAAUUUAGGACCUUGCAGGAGAACAUUCGAAUCUCAGCAAAAGCUGGUUUUACCUGAAAUGAUUGGAGGCAGGGCAAGUUUAGAUCUUGACCUGAGAUGCCAGAAAAGAAAAAGAGGGGGUUGUGACUCUUGAAGGAAAAGUGGUGCUGAAAUCUGAACAAAAAUGUUAGGGCCUGAAUACCACUUCCAUUAUUGCCCCCGCUAGUAGUUUUCGCUUUAUAAUCACAGCGGGGUUCCCUGAGCUGCAAAUGAAGAGUUUAGUUUUCAUACAAACAUAGAAUUGUUGGAAAGUAAAUGCAGGUCUUUGAAGUGCAUUUCUUUUGAUGGCCCUCUAACUUUCUUCUUUACCUUAGGAAGUUUAGCCACCAUGCUCCCAUAAGGAUAGUGUUCUUUCUAGCUUUUAAAACUUUGUUCUUGAAUAGUAUGAGAAAAUAAUUUCUUUAACUUUCUGAGGGGAACUCCAGUAAUAGGAAAAUAACAGAAUACCUGUGAAUUUGAUACACAGAUCCUUAUAAAAGCAAAAAUCAAAAGCACACCAUACACACACACACACACACACCAAAAGAACAAUUUUCAUGAUAAUACAAUUACUUCAUUUUCUUGUCAUCAUGGGCCAGCCAGGAUGAACUUUGUAAACUUGAGCAUUUAUGCAAUAUUAUUUCAAAGGUUGUGGUUGUCCCCUUCUCUCUCCCAUUUGUUUUCUAAACCAUACACUAAUUAAUUUAAUUUUUAGGCUUAAAAGUUCAAACCUACUUUAAAUUUAACUUUGCUUAACUAAGUUAAUAGAAAUAAAAUGGAGCUUUCAUUUUCUGGUUGUCUCUUAGGGAUUUGAAUGGAAAUAACAUCACACGGAUUACGAAGACAGAUUUUGUGGGCCUUAGACACUUAAGAGUUCUGUAAGUUUUCUUCUGUAAUAUGGGGAAUUGUAUUGUAUUGAAGAUUGCACUUUGAGAAUUGCUAAUAGUAUCAGUUUUUCAAACCUUUCCAAUGACAGAAAUUUUAAAAAUGUAAAGGCCUUGGUUUCUUUAUUUAUUUUACUAAAAGCACAACUUUUAGUAAAAAUUUGGGCUUUUAUUUUAAGUUUGAACACAUGCCAUAGAAACAAUGUUAUAGAAAUGACCUUAAGACUGUUUUAUCAUACCCUAAGUGCCUUAUGCAUAUAAACUUGUAGAAUAGUUGCUUUCAUAGUGUGAAUAAAUAAUGUGGGACAUCUGAUAUUUUAGUGUUUGAGAUUAACUUGAAAAACUCAGGUAGAUCUGUGUUUAAAUAUUAUUGAGCUAAAAAAUAUUUAGACUUUUUUUCUAAGAAAAAGUAAUUUCUAACAUUAAAAUCAAGCCAUCCAUCUUUUUAACAGAGCUUAGGUAGAAAAAUGUUUAUCUAUAAAAAAGCAUCAUUAGUUAUAUUUUCAGUUAAUUUCCUUACCUUUAAUAUCUUUGUAGAUUACAUAAAAUAGUUGCACUCUGAUUACUUCUUUACUUAGUGGGUUAAUUUAGCUGUGAAUAAACCAUUACUCAAAGUCAAUGCUACAUAAACUUGUUUUCUCCCACAAGAUUGUAUAUAUUUAUGUCUUAAAGGUCAUAUGCUUUUGACCUCUAUAUACCCAGUGUUCAAUUUUUAAAACAUAUUUUAGCCCUUAUGAAAUAUUUUGGUUGCUGAUGGGUAUCCAUAAGUCAUAAGUGAAUAUGUGUAUGAUGAAUUACUGUAGUUAAGAACACAGUUGAAAAUCAGUGUACCAAAAACAGCUAUCAAAGCUGCAAUUUCACUGCUCUUUUGUUAUGUUUAAGGUUUAGAGUUUGAAUAGUAAAUUUAGUGAGAAACUGCUUUAAUGUUUCUGUAAAAGUUUUGUGAUGUAGAUGCUUUUUCUUCUCCAUGAGUUCUUUCACAUAUAUCACCAUUAAAUUUGCUCCUAGUUCUCAAAGCAGAGCAAAAUCUAACUUUAAAGAGAGAAAGAGGUUAUAAAUGUUCAGUUACUGAAUUGAAAUUGACUUAGAUGGUAACAUUAAGAAGCAUGUUACAUUUUUUUUUUCAUUUCAGUCAGCUUAUGGAGAACAAGAUUACCACCAUUGAAAGGGGAGCAUUCCAGGAUCUUAAAGAACUAGAGAGACUGUAAGUAUUUUCAAUUCCAAACUCAUGACAACAUGACUGUAUUUUUACAAACACUUGAAUUUCAAGGCUUAUGUCUUCGAUCUCAUGUUUUAGCUUUAAAAAGCUUGCAAAAAAAGUGGGGGGAGAUGAGUAAGUGGUUUUCAGACAAAUUUACAAGUAGAGUUUCUGGAUAUAGGAUAUUAAUUUGUAAUAAAGCACAAAUUUACUUUUCUGAGAUGUUUAUAUACUUGGUAACCAUUGCUUUGGUACUGAAAGAUGUACAUACAUGUUUUUCUUAUUUGUUCAUCUGAUUUGUUUGCUUGCCUAUGCAGGAAGAGAGGUGGACCUUUUGUUCCGAUUAAUAGUACAUAUGGAAGGGAUGUUUUUCUAAUAGUAAUUUUAAUUUCUAUGAUGUUACUUGGUGUGUCAUUAGUGAUAUUAUAUUUUUUUCUGAUGAUGAUUUAACUUUUUAUCAUUAGAGUGAACAUUAUUAAUAAUUGUUAUUCACAGCUUUAUUUUGUUAUGCUAUAGUAGCUUUUCAAAUAUUCCUUUUGGGAAAUAAGAAAGAUUACCAAAGUAAGAUCUGUUAUCAAUGUGUAGUCAUUUAACAUUGACCUUUGUUUUUCCAAAAUUAAAUGUAACCUUCAAAUUAAAAUCUAUUUUUUAGACACAAAUUCUUAAUGGAUUUAUAUUUAUUACUUGAGGAUUUUUUAGAUUCACAGUAUAUAUUUACAUCAGACAAAACCUCUAUCUGAAAUAGAAAAAAAAUUACAGACUUUGUAGUUUGAAAUGUGAUUUCAUGUCUCAUAGAUCUUGAUUAUUCCACUUUAGUAGGUUUGUAUUCUUAGGACAAGUAACAGAUUUACUAAAAGUAGUAACAAUUAUUUAACAGUUUUCACAUCUGAUUUAAUAGUCACUUUAUAUACAAAUAACACUCUUAUUUCAAAUAACAAAAUAUAUUCACUUUAAGCAGAACACACAGUCGUAUUCACUAGGCCCAAAGGCAGAAGUUAAUUCUGUGUAAUUGUCCCUAAGUUGAAAAAUGACUCAUCAUCUUCUGAGAUAUUUAUAAAUGCAUAGAUUUCAUUUUUAUGACUUUAAGUAAAACACAGAAAUAUGUACUAUAUUUAUUAUAAAACUUGGCCAUGAUAAAUAUUGAAAUAUGGGGAAUAUAAUUGUAGAGUUCAAACUAAAUUUAAAACACUACUUUGAGCUAGUUUUGGGGGAAAGUAAAAACAAGAUAAAUAUUUGGUUGAAUUCAUAGUGAAGUUCAUAAAUUCAUAACCUAUGUCUAAAUACAUAAAAUUAUUCUGAAAUUAUUAUUUGAUGUUCUUCAGAAGCAUUCAUAGGCUUUGUGACUAACUCACAAAUUUAUCUUUAAUCCAUCUAUUUUUAAAAUAUUGAUAUAAUCAUUUAAAUGAAUAGAAAAUUUCAUAAUUUUACAUAUAUAUAAUAUAUAAUGUAUAUAUAUAUAUAUAUUAUAUAUAUACAGUUUUGCAAGAAUAACUUCUAGCAGUCACAAAGAAGUAUCUAUAUCUUGGUUUUUAAACAAUUUUUGAAUCAUAGAAGGAGUCUUAAUGGUUUUUCCUGCAGCCUCUACUUUGGUUAUAUUGUGUAAAUAUUUUAAGAAAGACUAGAAGAAAACACACUUUCUGGUUAUUUUUCAAGCCACUUCCAAAUAUCAUUUGAACUUUCAUCUUGACUAAAUUAACUUUUCCUAAAAAUUAUUAACCAGAUGCUAUAUGAUCUGAAAUUUGAUUAGAGUUGUAAGUGGUACUAUUUUUUGACUUUGCCUUCCUCUGGGAAUGUCACUUCAUCUCAGAACAAUUUUCUGUUCUACUAAGACUAAGUCAGAUGUUUCAGAGUGGGAGGAGAAUUUGUAAUUUUGAAUGAAAACUAAUAUAUAUGCAGGACUUCUUUAAAUCACCCCAGCUGUUGGCUGAGAGCAAAUAUUUCAUAUUUGUGAGGAAAAGCUGAGAAAAAUUCCUUUUGUUUACAACUGCCAAGUCCAUCUGAUGGAAGCACAUUGUUAUCUGACAGCCAAUUCAUCUCCUUGGGACUCUGGAAUUCAAAACCAUUUCUUAGGAACAUUGUGGAUACACUUUUCAAAUAUUUAUUUUUUAAAUACAUUAAAUGGCAAGCAGUUUUACUAAGGAAUGCAUUCAAGUUAUUGUGAAACAAAAAAAAUUUUAAUUUUGUUCAGCAUAUUGUUUUAAAAAUAAAAACGUAAAACAACAACAAAAAAAAUCUAUCUUGUGAGUAUCAUUCUCAGAUUAUUAUGGCCUCUAGUAUAUACCCUUUUUUAAUCGGGGUCAUUUAACAUCACAAAAUUGCUUGCUUUUUCAAAGAAUAGCAAGGGACAAUGUGAAAGACAGGCAGUAAUCAAUGAAUUAACUUUAGCUAUGAAUUGUGUAAACUUAAAUGAUUUUUAAUAAUUUAGAUGUGAGAUUUUAUACUCUCAAUUAUGAAAAGAUGUAAAAGUGCAGGCAUAUCUUGUAAAUACCAUCCAUACAGUGAACAGUGAUUUAAUUUUCUUUCCUUGUAUGAAGAUCAAAAAAAUAAAUAAAAAAUGUUUAUUUUACUUGUGUGUAAUGUAUGGUUCUAAAUUAUUUUCAUUUUAAAGUGAUAAAAUAAUUGUAAAUGAUUUUUGUGAAAAUUUCAAAGUUAUAUUUAUCUCUUAUUUUAUUUUGAUGUCGUUUACACUUGAUCUAGAGGGGAAAAAAAGAUCUGAAAGCAGAAGAUAAGAUCUAUGCCUUUUUAUAAAUCCAACUUUUAAUCUGUAAGAAGCAGGAUCCUGUUGUUAAGUUGAAUUUAAUGUUAGCAUGGAAAAAGAAAGCCAUUAUUUGUAAAUCAAAGCAGUAUAGCUACAAAAGAAAGAUAUUUUUUCUACUUCAAAGAAUGGAUGCAAUUCUAAAAUCUCAAAGCCAAAUGUCAAGAAGUACAUGGAUGUUGAAAUCCUUCCUUCCUCUUGUCUCCUUCCUCAUCCCUUUCUUCCUGUCUCUCCCUCCUUCAUGUCUUUCUUCCCCUCAUUGUUUUCUCCCUUCCCCCUUUCCUUUGGUUUAUUUUUCCCCACCUUCUCCUCUUGUUUCCUUUUCACUCCCUUCUUUGUGUUGUUUAGAAACGACAUCAGAUGAUGUGGUCAUCAUCAGAAUGUGGUUAUGAAUCACUGUAAAGGGACUAAGUUAAUUGCACCUACACACCAUGAGCACACAUGACUUCCUGUUUUGUCACUCUGCCACCACACUCCCAGACCUACCACGUGCAGUGGCAGAUUUUCUAAGAGGCUUUGUAUUGCCAGCAGUCUCAGUUUUUCUGGGAAAAAAAAAUGAAACCUUGAGUACUUUAAACCUUUUUAUAUUGUAUUAGCUGAUCUCCUGUCGUUUAAUCAGAAAGUUCUAUAGAAAUCUAAUGUAGUUAAAUGACUAGCUAAUUCAGUACAAAUCAAUUAAGAGGGGAAAAAAAAAUACCAGUUAACUACAGUAACAAUUCAGAACACAUAAGAAGUAUGCUUCUUUCAUGUACUUCCUAGAAGAUACCUUUAUAUAUCCACAAUAAAUUCUCCAGACAAAAUUACUAAUACAAGAUAUUUCUCAGCUGGUACAUAAUUCUCUAGAUGGUAUUUUUUUUUUUUUUAAAGUAACAUUGGGACCCAGAAGUUCUGUGGGCUGGUAUAAAAUUCUGUGGCUUACAUAAAUUUACAAUUCAUGUACCAUUGUGAUAAUGCUUUGUAGUCAUUGAGCUAUAUUUUACGGCCUUUUUUGACAAGCUAGAAUACUUCAGGGUUCCACUAUUGAAAACCAUCUUCCUCUUUUGAAAAUUCCUUCAUAACACAAAUGCAAGAGUAUAAGAAAGUUUAAGGCUGUCAUUUCAAAGACAUUUUGGUAGUAACUUCAGGACUGCAAAAAUGAAACUUAGAUAUGUUUAUCUAGCUUAUAUUAAGAGACCAAGAGCAUACCAUGGAAAAUCUUGGCUAUUAGGCUUUUCCUGGACAUUACAAUCACCUUAUAAUCUUCAAUAAGGAAAUUGUUGAAGUGAUAAAGGCAAGUACACAGACUGUGCCGUAUUCUCCCAUUAACAAUGUGCUUUUCACACAAAUAUUCUUUAAAUCUUUCCAGUUUUAGUCUCUUUCUAUCUAAAAUGACAUUUUCUUUCCUUAAAAUUUUCUCUGGCUAUUCAUUUUUUUUUUUUUCUGGAUAAAUUUGUCCUUAAAAUAUUGAAAAUGUAGCCAUAUGUUGAAUCCUGAAACAUAAGCCUGUUAAAUAUUUUAAAGUUCCGGCAGAGUAAAUACAAAACAAAAAUAACAAAAUUUCCAACAAGUUGAUGCAAAUCCAAUAUAUUCAUUUUAAUUUAGAGAAAUCUUAGUCUCUUCCCAAAGAGCCUAUCUUUGAAUAAAUACUGUAUUUUUAUCAAAGAAUAUCCAAGGGGCACAUUUCUUUUCUUUUCCCAGGGUGGUGCUGAAUUAGUCCUCUUUUCAUGAACACACCAUUCAUAAGCAAGUGACAGUGUGAGGUUGAGAGCCCUGGCACUCUACAGCCUUUGUUGUGGGUUGCUACACAUGAAUUCAAGUGGAGAAUAUGUGGUGGAACAGGUCUGAAGGAAAGCACAGUUUAUCCUGUUCAUCAAGGAUGUCAAGAACCCCUCUUCUGACUCAUCCUACAAGUUUGUAGGCAACACAUAAUAUAUAUCUUUUCUUAUUGUAAGGACAAACAAACCAUGCUCUCUCCUUGGACAGGAAUGUGAGCUCAUUUCAAGAGUUGUUCUCUGGUAUCUUUGCACCUAGGUUGAAAGGCACUGUGGUUGCUUUCUUAGAAAUUCUCUUUGAAGAAAUAUAUCAAUUUAACAGAGGUUGAGUGUGCACGUUACAUAAGGUAAAAAUACUCUAAAAUAAAUACACAUGGACUAUUUUAAAUUGUUUUUCCUGACUCUGGCCAUAGAAAGCUUUAAUGCAAAUGAGCUGUUGCAAGUUUAGCAGAAUAUUCAAUCCAAGAGGAUUUCUUGUGCAACCUGUUUUUAUGGUCUCUGAAGUCAAACUGUAGUGAGAAGGCCUGUUUGCCCUUAUAAAUUCUGAAGCAGCAAGGCUGUUUAUUUUUCCCACAUCUGUUUUGGGCUCAUCCUUUGUGACAGUGUUUGCUGGAUGCUGUGUCUUUUAUACCUCCUUUGAAAUGAAUAGCUUCGUUUGCACUGUUACAAGGUAUUUGUGGAAGCAGUGAAUGUCAAAUAUUUUACAUUUUAUUCUGUUUUUCAUUACUUUUUGGAUGGAUACCUUUCUGGCUGAGUUAUGCCUUCUACACUGCGUUUCCCAACUUUGCACAGAAUGAGGCUUUUGUGCAUGGACUUCAUAUGUAUUGUUUUUAUCUUUUUCAAAGAAAGUUAUAUCUGCUGGUCUGGAAGGAAUAUUCAUUGGUAGAAAUCCUUUCAGAAUGAAAUCUUGAUAAUAAUAGGAAUAAUCUGGUACUAUCAAAAUUGAAAUAUUGUUUCAAGAUAGCAUUUACAAAAAAAAAAUAUUUGGUUUUCCUAAUUUGAGCAUCCAUCUACUCUGAAUGCAGGUAGGCAGUUCGGAAAGACUGGCUUUGUGUGGCUCUUUUAGGAUUUGGUGUUGGAACACAGAGUUUGAAUUAUCUAGAACUCCUGUGUAUAGGCACCUUGCAAUAUUCACAGCUGCUGCCUGGUGUCUCCUGAAACACCAGGCAAAUACUUAUCAGUUGUAUUGUUGACUAUACUUUCUAACCAAAUACAAAGUUUCCCUCCCUCUUUUAGAAACAGAAACAUUAGGUAAGAGAGAUACAAAAAAAUAUCCUUAAUUAUGGUUCCCCUAUGAGAUCUUGAACACCUUGCUUCAUCUUUAAAAACUUCAGUUUCCUCAUCUUUAAAACAAGGAUAUAUAUUAUGGUAUAGCUUAUACUUGUAGUAGAUGAUUUAGGUAAGGUAAUGUACAGUUUCACAAAAUUCUUUGCACACAGUGCCUAAAGAACUAUCAUUAUGCAUUUCAAUAUACCUUUUAUUUCUCAGAAGUUGAUUUAAAAAUUAUGUUAUCUUAACUAUUAAUGUGUGUGCAUAACAAAUUUAUGCACUGUAUAUUAAAAUUAUGCAACACUAUAUGCAUUAUACUGUUAAUUUCAUUCUGAUUUUCUGUUAGCAUGUAGUAUGUGAUUAACAGAAGAGACAUGAAGAUAAUUCAAAUUCUUCACGUUUUGUUUCAGAAUGUUUGUUGUAAACUUUUUGAAUUGUAGAGAAAUAUGAAUAAGUAAAAGAACUAAAUUGGAAGCAGCCUUUUUUUUUUUUUACUAAAAAGAAUUGACCUUUAUAGCACAGAAUACAAGGGAUGAAAUUAUCAUUGAUAUCACUACUUAAAAUACAGAACUAUUAAUUUAAUACAAGCUAAGUUGAUAAUGCUGUUGAAAAUUCAUGUUUUUGUAAUGCAUGAUAAAUGUUAAAAUACUUGAUCUAAAAAUAUUAGAAUAAAAACAUUUAAGAAAAGAUAAUUGGAAAUUUUGUCUAAGAAGAGGUCAAAAUAGGGAACUAAUUAGUUCUAUUCCUGGCCAUUUAUGUAUGAGAAACAGGAGGUUGGAAAUGAUAAACUUUCUAAGGCAAAUUUAUCAGAUGUUUAUUACAGACCAAGUGUGCUGCAAAAAUACCCUACAUUGAGAAUGACAUGUAAGAAAAAAAGCAUGAAUUUUUCACUGGCUUUGGUGAAACUGUUCUUAUUUUACAUUUUAAAUUGGAUGGAAGAUUACCAAUAUUAAUUAAAUUGACAUAGAAGUUGAAUACAAUAAGAGAAUAUAUUGUCUAUGAAAGGACAAGAGUCACACGGGAGCAGCUAGCACAUGAUAAUUUAGAACAAAGCUUGUCGAUAAUGUUCAGGUGCCCUUCGAAUUAAGGUUGUUAAGAAUCAGCAUUUCAGAGGCCAGUGGUGUUUUGCGUGACACGGAAAGGUCAUUCACUCUAAUGAAAGUCAAACUCAAAAUUAGCUGGUACCAGAGAAUGAGCACUUAUUGGGACUCCUUCUCAUCUUUGCUCUAAAAUAAAGUGUCUGGGAGAAAGAUCACGCACCUUUCUCAAUCCAGGAAUGCCAUACAGAAAAUUCCCAGACAGUUUUGGAAUCUUGGAGGCAGAUUCCACCUACGGAUGAUGAUGCAGAGCUAGGUGUCAUUUUACCUCUGCUAUCUCCUCAGACAUGAUUAAAUGUCAUUAAGUGUCCUUGCUCUGAGUAGUCACAGUUGACUUACCUAGUCUGUACAAUGAGCAAGUUUAUGUGGGCCCCAUAAACAGUCCUGCUCAGUAUCAUCUGUUCCUUACAUCUGUUUUCCUGUCCUGCAACUACCACAUUUUAAUAUCAGCAGCUCACUUUUGUUAUAGUUCUUAUUAUAACACUGCUCUUUAAGCCACUAACAAUUGUUUUGUAUGUGGAAUUGGAAGGAAGAUAACUUUUUCUUCAGCUCUUUUUAAGUACUUGUUUUGCACCUUAAGAGUCUUUAUUGUAAUUCUCUAUUUAAAAAACUGCUCUUUAGAUUAAGGAUUUAAUUUAUGGUCUUUGUACAAUAAUACAUUACAUAGUUCUUGAUAUAUCAUAUUUCACACUUUGGUUCAAGUGGGUUAUGAACUCCCAUUUUUACCCCGUAUACAGAUUGCAGAAUCACAUCAGUUACACAUCCAUUGAUUUACAUAUUGCCAUACUAGUGUCUGUUGUAUUCUGCUGCCUUUCCUAUCCUCUACUAUCCCCCCUCCCCUCCCCUUAAAUAUUUUCUUUAUUAAAUAUUUUUUGGAAGAGCUUCUUCUUUUUUUUUUUUUUUUUUUUUUUACUGUUUUUGUUUCCAAUUAACCUUAGUACUGAUGGAAGAGAAAAUAUAACAGGAGUCGGAAGCCCAAAGUGAACAUACUCUUUUUAAGAAAAAAACAAAAAACAAAAAUUUUAAAAACCAGCAAACGUGCCCUGUUUUCUAUCUGCAUAUUAUGCAUCACUUACUGAUACUGGCCCUUUUUGUCUAAUACUAUGUUGUCUGAUGCUUAAAAUGGAAAUGUUUCAUAGUUGGUUUAAACAUAUUUAAAUAUCAUUCAUAAUUGCUUUCCUGAAAGAGUGAAAAAAUGCUUGAAUUCAGAGAAAAAAAGUUUCACCUGUAUUUUUUUUUCUUUUUCUCUCAACCGUAGGUAUUUAAAAUAGACAUUUAAAAGGUGAAUAUAGAGUCAUUUUUUAAAAAAUAAAACUUGGUGUUUUAUUUUCAGAUGAUUAGUUUGUAGAUGUUUAAGAAACUGGUUAUACAAAACUAUGUUUUUCUGAAGGAAAAAUUGGUGAAAAGUAAAGUUUCAGCAAUACAUUAUUUUGAAUUAUUGUUUAGGAAUGUUAUUCUGUGUUCUUCUGUAACUCAGAAGAUAUGUUCUGGAGUCAUGCCACUUGAAUUCAAAUUCUAGCAGUCUUUGAGCUCCAUGUCUCCCUCCAAAACAGCAGUUAAAAGUUGUAUCUACAUGGGGGAUAUUGUGAAGAGUGAACGAGAUAAUUCAUGUAAACCUGGCAGAACAGGGAGUAUCACAUAGUAAGCUUAAUGCACUUACCUACUACUCGUGGAGCAAAUUAAGAAACACUGGGAAUAUGAAGUUGAUAAAUAAGAGCAGUUCCUACUCUGAAAUAUCUACUUUUUCACAACACAUGAAGUUGUAUUGAUGCAGACCCCUAACAAGACAACCGUCAUUCACUUGCAUUUCUGGAUUUGUUUAAAUUCAUUAAAUUUCUUUCAACUCUAAGUGAUGCUGAGAAUGUUUCAGGUGGGAGCAAGAGAGUGGGCAAAGAGGUUGAUGGAAAGGGAGGGAGAUUAGUAUUGCCUGGGACAUGUGGAAGCAGGUAGGAUGGUGGGGCUUUCCUUAGCCAGAGUGUAGCAUCAAACUUGAAGAGGCAUCACAAGAAGUAUGCCAGAGGAAAGCUCUCCGGGUAUAAAAUUAUGUCAAGCUCUUGCUGACCGAUAUCAAAAGAGGAGGACAGUCUGUUGUCAAUCAACAUAUCUAAGACCCUACUAAGUGCCAGGGAAGGACAUGUUAAAUGCGAACAGACUCCUCUCUUUGCCUUCUGUUUUGCUUUAAAACCCAGUUAAGUACCAGAAAAGGCGGGAGGAAAUACAAAGACAAGGUCUUUACCCUUGAAGAGUUCACAGGCUGGUGGGAAGAGACCACACUUGAAUAAAUAUCAUUAGUGGAGGGACUUUUACUUAUCAAGUGUUUUGGGGACAUAGCCAAGGGAGGUGUUGAAUCUAUGUAGAAUUGGAAAGUUGCACAGAGGAUGUAAGUAAAGCAACUUUUGAUGAAAAGGGAAGCCCCCUACACAGAGAGCUGCCUCGGCAGGAACUCUGGUUUGAAGGAGCAUGGCUACUAUGGCUGAAGAAUUGGAUGACAGUUGUUAAUUACAUGGUUUGGAUAUGAUUAAGAAAUCUCAUCUCUGCUAUUUUAGGAAUCAGAACUGGCUCUUUGGACAAUAUACCUCCUUCCAUGAAUGACUGCUUUUCUAGAAAAAUUUUCAUUACCACUGUUGUGAAUAUUUGUAAUUUACUUUCUUUGGAGGUGAAUUUAGCAAAUCAAAAUUAGGCUUUAUUUUAUCAAAAAUGGAUAAUGGUGGGAUCGGGAAGUACUUCUUUCUCAGAAUCAUGCCCAACAGAGAGCAAAUAAAAGCUUUUGGGUUCCAUUUUACCUUGUUAUGUACUUUAUUCCUAAAAACUAGUGUAAGUGGGAAGUAAGUCCAUCCUUUCAUCUGUGCUUUUACUCUUUGCCCUUCAUUUGUCUUGGCAUCCUUUUUUAAAAUUAGUGUACAUUUUAUUAAAUGCUGAGAAUGUUUCUGUCAAUGAACAACUUCUUAGUGAUAUGAGUUAUGAAACCAAAGCUGUGUUCACAUUCAUUGCCUUGUGACAUCUUUGAACUAGGAAUUCUGAAGUCCACUUGGUCCAGCUUCUCACUUAAUAUAGGAUUUCCCUUUAUCAUGUUCUCAGCAGAAAAAACAAAAACAUACACUCCUUGAGUAUAUCUAGGAUAAGUAGUGGACAGUUUCUCAAGGUUGAUCUCAGGGUAGAUAUUUCCAUUUUUUAAUAUCCCUAAUUCUUAGAAAGGACUCCUUACUAUCUUUCUUAGGAAUCACAAUUACUGGUCUCAUUUCUGCCCUCUAGAGACUGAAUGUAAUUCUGCUUCUACCUGAGGAUCCUUUAACUACAUCAAGAAUGAUAUGCUUUUUUCUGUCCCCAUAUGUAUUUUGAAGACUUAAGAAAUACCUCUGGUUUCUUCAGUGUGAUGUUAGUUUCUGGACCUACUUAUCCUCUUGUAAAUUAAGCAGAUUGUGUGUAUUUUAUGUUAGAUUUAGAUUUUUUUAAAUUUAGAUUUAUAAAAAGAAAUAAGCUAUUAUUUUGAAUUUAAUGUUAAAACUAACUCUCAAAGAAUUGGGUAUCAGGGGUAGAAUUCACCUACUCUGUUCAUAGGCGUGUAUAGUCCAAAAGAAUUGUCAUAUUACAUCAGGAUUUAAAUUGAGUUAGAGUUGGACUCAAAUUCUUUCUAAAACAUCUAAAACACUCCAACAUCAGUUAAACAUUUAAAAGAUAUUUAAGCAAUUUAUGACAUCACCAUACACUAUAACUCUGAGCACUAAAUUCAGUGAAGGGUUGAGAGGCUUUGGGUUGAGGUGUGAACUUUGUUGGCUUUCUUCUGAUUUUGCCUGUAAGGGAAAACCAUACUUAACAUUUUGUCACACUUUUAUUUUAUUUAUAUAUUUUUAAUAUUCUUUGUAGUUGUUGAUGGACCUGUGUUUUAUUCAUUUAUAUGCCAUGCUGAGACUCAAACCCAGUGCCUCAUAUAUGCUAGGCAAGCACUCUACCACUGAGCCACAAUCCCAGCCCAUCACACCUUUAUUUUUAUUUUUUAGCUAAAUAGAGGUACAAAAUUGAAAUCUCCAUCUCCCCACAAUGCCUUGACUGAAAACUUAGGUCAUUCAGGACAGAGUACGAAUUAUUUUACCAUUUCCUGUAUAAUUUCUGUUGUAUAUGGAAGUUGCUUUACAGACUUGAGCCUGAGUCAUGAAAUCUUUCACCAUUGUGUAUAUUCUGGUUGACUGAUGUUGCAGGAGAUUUGAGUUUAGAGUUUAGGCUCAGCAAUCAUCAUCUGAGUGAGCAUAAUGGAAAAUUGCUUUAAAGAGUCAUGUAACCAAAGGUGUAACCAACUUUUGAUUUGCAAUGCUUGAAUUCUCUUGAAUAUCACUCCAUUCUUACUUGAAAUUCAGGAUGAGGCAUGACACUACCAAAUCGCAGUCUCAUUGUUGGGUAUUCUCUAUGUAACAUAAGCUUUGUUUUUGUUUUCUCAAAAGGCGUUUAAACAGAAAUCACCUUCAACUGUUUCCUGAGUUGCUGUUUCUUGGGACCUCGAAG
rnacentral:lncRNA from 1 species